AAAAGUUCCUCUGCUUUUUUUCCGUUUUUGUUGGGUUCACCCCUCCCAUUCCACUAGGGGGCUCUGCAGUGUGUUUAUAUUAGUUCAAAUGACUUGAAGUAAAACCGGAAGUUACUUGACGGCGAACCGGAAGCGUUUUAAAUCGCGUUUAGAUGCAAUUAGUGAGCUUCUUAUUUGCGUUUUUGAGUAUUGCUCAACGUGUUUGCACCAGGAUAAAGAAUGACAAAAAGAACAAGAAAUAACUUAUAUUCUUUGAAACACAGCUCGCUGCAGUCAUGUGAACCGAACCCAGGGAAGCAGACGCAGCCCAACUCAGAGCAUUGGCCGUUCCCGUUGCACAGGUCCGGAC